rnacentral:rRNA from 1 species
GAAACUGCCUGAUGGAGGGGGAUAACUACUGGAAACGGUAGCUAAUACCGCAUAAUGUCGCAAGACCAAAGUGGGGGACCUUCGGGCCUCAUGCCAUCAGAUGUGCCCAGAUGGGAUUAGCUUGUAGGUGGGGUAACGGCUCACCUAGGCGACGAUCCCUAGCUGGUCUGAGAGGAUGACCAGCCACACUGGAACUGAGACACGGUCCAGACUCCUACGGGAGGCAGCAGUGGGGAAUAUUGCAC